UGGGGAAUAUUGGACAAUGGGGGGAACCCUGAUCCAGCCAUGCCGCGUGUGUGAAGAAGGCCUUAUGGUUGUAAAGCACUUUAAGCGAGGAGGAGGCUACUGAGACUAAUACUCUUGGAUAGUGGACGUUACUCGCAGAAUAAGCACCGGCUAACUCUGUGCCAGCAGCCGCGGUAAUACAGAGGGUGCGAGCGUUAAUCGGAUUUACUGGGCGUAAAGCGUGCGUAGGCGGCUUUUUAAGUCGGAUGUGAAAUCCCCGAGCUUAACUUGGGAAUUGCAUUCGAUACUGGGAAGCUAGAGUAUGGGAGAGGAUGGUAGAAUUCCAGGUGUAGCGGUGAAAUGCGUAGAGAUCUGGAGGAAUACCGAUGGCGAAGGCAGCCAUCUGGCCUAAUACUGACGCUGAGGUACGAAAGCAUGGGGAGCAAACAGGAUUAGAUACCCUGGUAGUCCAUGCCGUAAACGAUGUCUACUAGCCGUUGGGGCCUUUGAGGCUUUAGUGGCGCAGCUAACGCGAUAAGUAGACCGCCU
rnacentral:rRNA from 1 species